rnacentral:rRNA from 1 species
GGCAGUCAGAGGCGAUGAAGGACGUGCUAAUCUGCGAUAAGCGUCGGUAAGGUGAUAUGAACCGUUAUAACCGGCGAUUUCCGAAUGGGGAAACCCAGUGUGUUUCGACACACUAUCAUUAACUGAAUCCAUAGGUUAAUGAGGCGAACCGGGGGAACUGAAACAUCUAAGUACCCCGAGGAAAAGAAAUCAACCGAGAUUCCCCCAGUAGCGGCGAGCGAACGGGGAGCAGCCCAGAGCCUGAAUCAGUAUGUGUGUUAGUGGAAGCGUCUGGAAAGGCGCGCGAUACAGGGUGACAGCCCCGUACACAAAAAUGCACAUGCUGUGAGCUCGAUGAGUAGGGCGGGACACGUGGUAUCCUGUCUGAAUAUGGGGGGACCAUCCUCCAAGGCUAAAUACUCCUGACUGACCGAUAGUGAACCAGUACCGUGAGGGAAAGGCGAAAAGAACCCCGGCGAGGGGAGUGAAAAAGAACCUGAAACCGUGUACGUACAAGCAGUGGGAGCUCGCUUAGGCGUGUGACUGCGUACCUUUUGUAUAAUGGGUCAGCGACUUAUAUUCUGUAGCAAGGUUAACCGAAUAGGGGAGCCGAAGGGAAACCGAGUCUUAACUGGGCGUUAAGUUGCAGGGUAUAGACCCGAAACCCGGUGAUCUAGCCAUGGGCAGGUUGAAGGUUGGGUAACACUAACUGGAGGACCGAACCGACUAAUGUUGAAAAAUUAGCGGAUGACUUGUGGCUGGGGGUGAAAGGCCAAUCAAACCGGGAGAUAGCUGGUUCUCCCCGAAAGCUAUUUAGGUAGCGCCUCGUGAAUUCAUCUCCGGGGGUAGAGCACUGUUUCGGCAAGGGGGUCAUCCCGACUUACCAACCCGAUGCAAACUGCGAAUACCGGAGAAUGUUAUCACGGGAGACACACGGCGGGUGCUAACGUCCGUCGUGAAGAGGGAAACAACCCAGACCGCCAGCUAAGGUCCCAAAGUCAUGGUUAAGUGGGAAACGAUGUGGGAAGGCCCAGACAGCCAGGAUGUUGGCUUAGAAGCAGCCAUCAUUUAAAGAAAGCGUAAUAGCUCACUGGUCGAGUCGGCCUGCGCGGAAGAUGUAACGGGGCUAAACCAUGCACCGAAGCUGCGGCAGCGACGCUUAUGCGUUGUUGGGUAGGGGAGCGUUCUGUAAGCCUGCGAAGGUGUGCUGUGAGGCAUGCUGGAGGUAUCAGAAGUGCGAAUGCUGACAUAAGUAACGAUAAAGCGGGUGAAAAGCCCGCUCGCCGGAAGACCAAGGGUUCCUGUCCAACGUUAAUCGGGGCAGGGUGAGUCGACCCCUAAGGCGAGGCCGAAAGGCGUAGUCGAUGGGAAACAGGUUAAUAUUCCUGUACUUGGUGUUACUGCGAAGGGGGGACGGAGAAGGCUAUGUUGGCCGGGCGACGGUUGUCCCGGUUUAAGCGUGUAGGCUGGUUUUCCAGGCAAAUCCGGAAAAUCAAGGCUGAGGCGUGAUGACGAGGCACUACGGUGCUGAAGCAACAAAUGCCCUGCUUCCAGGAAAAGCCUCUAAGCAUCAGGUAACAUCAAAUCGUACCCCAAACCGACACAGGUGGUCAGGUAGAGAAUACCAAGGCGCUUGAGAGAACUCGGGUGAAGGAACUAGGCAAAAUGGUGCCGUAACUUCGGGAGAAGGCACGCUGAUAUGUAGGUGAAGUCCCUCGCGGAUGGAGCUGAAAUCAGUCGAAGAUACCAGCUGGCUGCAACUGUUUAUUAAAAACACAGCACUGUGCAAACACGAAAGUGGACGUAUACGGUGUGACGCCUGCCCGGUGCCGGAAGGUUAAUUGAUGGGGUCAGCGCAAGCGAAGCUCUUGAUCGAAGCCCCGGUAAACGGCGGCCGUAACUAUAACGGUCCUAAGGUAGCGAAAUUCCUUGUCGGGUAAGUUCCGACCUGCACGAAUGGCGUAAUGAUGGCCAGGCUGUCUCCACCCGAGACUCAGUGAAAUUGAACUCGCUGUGAAGAUGCAGUGUACCCGCGGCAAGACGGAAAGACCCCGUGAACCUUUACUAUAGCUUGACACUGAACAUUGAGCCUUGAUGUGUAGGAUAGGUGGGAGGCUUUGAAGUGUGGACGCCAGUCUGCAUGGAGCCGACCUUGAAAUACCACCCUUUAAUGUUUGAUGUUCUAACGUUGACCCGUAAUCCGGGUUGCGGACAGUGUCUGGUGGGUAGUUUGACUGGGGCGGUCUCCUCCUAAAGAGUAACGGAGGAGCACGAAGGUUGGCUAAUCCUGGUCGGACAUCAGGAGGUUAGUGCAAUGGCAUAAGCCAGCUUGACUGCGAGCGUGACGGCGCGAGCAGGUGCGAAAGCAGGUCAUAGUGAUCCGGUGGUUCUGAAUGGAAGGGCCAUCGCUCAACGGAUAAAAGGUACUCCGGGGAUAACAGGCUGAUACCGCCCAAGAGUUCAUAUCGACGGCGGUGUUUGGCACCUCGAUGUCGGCUCAUCACAUCCUGGGGCUGAAGUAGGUCCCAAGGGUAUGGCUGUUCGCCAUUUAAAGUGGUACGCGAGCUGGGUUUAGAACGUCGUGAGACAGUUCGGUCCCUAUCUGCCGUGGGCGCUGGAGAACUGAGGGGGGCUGCUCCUAGUACGAGAGGACCGGAGUGGACGCAUCACUGGUGUUCGGGUUGUCAUGCCAAUGGCACUGCCCGGUAGCUAAAUGCGGAAGAGAUAAGUGCUGAAAGCAUCUAAGCACGAAACUUGCCCCGAGAUGAGUUCUCCCUGACUCCUUGA